GAUGAUAUGGCCAAGUAGGUAAGGCAAUGGACUACUAAUCCAUUGUGCUCUUCAAGUGUGGGUUCAAAUCGUACCCUUUCCA
rnacentral:tRNA from 1 species